rnacentral:rRNA from 1 species
ACUCAAAGGAAUUGACGGGGACCCGCACAAGCAGCGGAGCGUGUGGUUUAAUUCGACGCAACGCGCAGAACCUUACCCAGGUUGGACUUGCAGCUGCACGCCGACCAACGUCGGUAGCCUUCGAGGGUGCUGCACAGAUGCUGCAUGGCUGUCGUCAGCUCGUGUCGUGAGAUGUUGGGUUCAGUCCCGCAACGAGCGCAACCCCUGCGACCAGUUACUCGUGUCUGGUCGGACUGCCCUUCGGGGAGGAAGGCGGGGAUGAUGUCAAGUCCGCAUGGCUCUUACACCUGGGGCGACACACACGCUACAAUGGGACGGACAGAGCGCUGCCACCGCGCAAGCGGGCGCGAAUCGCCAACCCGUUCCCCAGUGCAGAUCGGGGGCUGCAACUCGCCCCCGUGAAGGCGGAGUUGCUAGUAACCGCGUAUCAGCCAUGGCGCGGUGAAUACGUACCCGGGUCUUGUACACACCGCCCGU